rnacentral:rRNA from 1 species
UUGACGGGGAGCACCACGAACGGGUGGAGCUUGCGGUUUAAUUGAUUCGAACGCCGGAAAUCUUACCGGGACCGACAGCAAUAUGAAGGCCAGGCUGAAGACUUUGCCGGAUUAGCUGAGAGGUGGUGCAUGGCCGUCGUCAGUUCGUACUGUGAAGCAUCCUGUUAAGUCAGGCAACGAGCGAGACCCACGCCCACAGUUGCCAGCGUACUCUCUGGAGUGACGGGUACACUGUGGGACCGCCGCUGCUAAAGCGGAGGAAGGAAUGGGCAACGGUAGGUCAGUAUGCCCCGAAUAUCCCGGGCUACACGCGAGCUACAAUGGUUGGUACAAUGGGUAUCUACCCCGAAAGGGGACGGGAAUCUCCUAAAACCAAUCUUAGUUCGGAUUGAGGGCUGCAACUCGCCCUCAUGAAGCUGGAAUCCGUAGUAAUCGCGUUUCAACAGAACGCGGUGAAUACGUCCCUGCUCCUU